rnacentral:rRNA from 1 species
UACAGAGGGUGCGAGCGUUGUCCGGAAUGAUUGGGCGUAAAGGGCGCGUAGGCGGCCAGGCAAGUCAGUAGUGGAAGUCCAAUUUUCAAGGUUGGAAGUGCUAUUGAAACUGUAGGGCUUGAGUGCGGGAGAGGUUAUCGGAAUUCCCGGUGUAGCGGUGAAAUGCGUAGAGAUCGGGAGGAACACCAGUGGCGAAGGCGGGUAACUGGACCGCAACUGACGCUGAGGCGCGAAAGUGUGGGGAGCAAACAGG